rnacentral:tmRNA from 1 species
GGGGGCGCACUGGUUUCGACUUGGGAGAAGCGCCAGAGGCGGCAUGCCGAGGAAGGUUCGUUGGCCUCGUUAAUCAUUCGAACCAAAACAUAAGAGCUAACGAAGAGUUGGCCCUCGCAGCCUAAACCACUGCGACGUUCACCGGCAGACACCUGCUAUGUCGAGUGAACGCCAUUUGCAGGCAUGGCUGAAGGCGGAGACCGCGCGCCAGCAGCCGAGAAAAUUUCAUGCGGACUAAGCAGCGGGUAUCGAGUUCAAGCGCCAUCCCGUAGCCGACAAAUCUGCUUGGACUAAGCAUGUAGUCGCGGCUGGUUACUCUGCCAAGGACGGGGGUUCAACUCCCCCCGCCUCCACCA